GAUGAAGAACGCAGCGAAAUGCGAUAAGUAAUGCGAAUUGCAGAAUUCCAGUGAGUCAUCGAAUCUUUGAACGCACAUUGCGCCCCUUGGUAUUCCAUGGGGCAUGCCUGUUCGAGCGUCAUUUGUACCUUCAAGCUCUGCUUGGUGUUGGGUGUUUGUCUCGCCUCUGCGUGUAGACUCGCCUCAAAACAAUUGGCAGCCGGCGUAUUGAUUUCGGAGCGCAGUACAUCUCGCGCUUUGCACUCAUAACGACGACGUCCAAAAGUACAUUUUUACACUCUUGACCUCGGAUCAGGUAGGGAUACCCGCUGAACUUAAGCAUAUCAAUAAGCGGAGGA
rnacentral:misc_RNA from 1 species